GAUCAAGCCUCUGAGAAAGGAAGAUGAGGGAGUGUACUUGUGCUCUUCAGCCAACGCGGUUGGGGAGGCUCAGGCCCACGGCACGGUGACGGUUCUAGAUCUGAGUAAAUACACAGCCCCCCACCCCCCAGCUCCAGACGACCGCAUGUGAUGGAGUCAGGGUCUUAGAAACGUUGAUGACAGGAUGUUGGAAGAGUCAAGUCAUGCAUCGUUUUCCUUGUGAAGAGUUGGAGAAACUGUGUUUGUAGAUGACCCCUUUUGUAUGUUUUUACAAAUUAGAUGCAAACUAGAUUCCUAUGCAGAUGUAGUUUUUAGCAGGGCAAGCAUUGGGAAACCAGACUGCAUGUGGCUUUUUUAUACUUUUGAAAGGAAUUGCUCUGUGAGAAUUCUUUUUUAACCUAACCUCUCCCAGGGAAGGUCACCUGAUGGUAUGUUUGUAAUUCUAAAGGGCUGGAAAAAGAA